rnacentral:tRNA from 1 species
GGCUAGAUGGCCGGGUGAUCUAAGGCGCUGGUUUUAGGUACCAGUCUCUUCCGAGACGUGGCUUCGAAUCCCACUAUCGUCG